rnacentral:tRNA from 1 species
GUUGGGGUGGCAGAGCCCGGAUCUAUUGCAGAAGGCCUAAGCCCUUCGAACAGAGGUUCAAAUCCUCUCCCUGACU